AACUUUCAACAAUGGAUCUCUAGGUUCUCGCAUCGAUGAAGAACGUAGCAAAUUGCGAUAACUAGUGUGAAUUGCAUUUUCAGUGAAUCAUCGAGUCUUUGAACGCAUCUUGCACUUUAGGGCAUUCCCUAGAGUACGCCUGUUUCAGUAACAG
rnacentral:rRNA from 1 species